rnacentral:rRNA from 1 species
UACGAAGGGGGCUAGCGUUAUCCGGAUUUAUUGGGUUUAAAGGGUACGUAGGCGGUGGAGUAAGUCAGUGGUGAAAGCCAACAGCUCAACUGUUGAACUGCCAUUGAUACUGCUUCACUUGAGUGCAUGUUGAGGGUGGGUGGAAUUCCAUGUGUAACGGUGAAAUGCUUAGAUAUAUGGAGGAACACCGAUAACGAAGGUAACUCACUAAACUGUAACUGACGCUGAGGUACGAAAGCGUGGGGAGCAAACGGG